CUCUCUGCUCUCUCUCUAGGGCUCCCUUCCCUCGUUCCCUUUCCUCCUGCGGCCCGACACCAACCCUCCCCCAAAUCCCCCACGCCACCGCCGCGCCGUCGCCGCCUCCUCCUCGGCGGCGCGUCUCCUUCUCCUCAUCAUCCUUCGCCGCUACCCCUUGCGGCCUCCUACGACCCCAGGGCCCCCACGCGGGGCGUGGCCCGGACGCUCCCCUGACCUUGGCUGCGGCUAGGG
rnacentral:lncRNA from 1 species